CGGUUUCUGGUAAGAGCAAGAAGCUGAUGGGGUAGCUGGAAGCAAAGGAUUUUCAUCCCCAUCCUGUUUCACAGGAGAAUCUUCCCUAGAAGAGAGAACUCAGGCCCUGGAUAUGCUGUCACAUAGUUCCCUGGAUGGAACUACUGAGCGACAUGGGACCCAGUGACCACAUCAGUUAUAGUUUGCAUGUCGAAAGGACCAUCCCACUGUGACAUGGCAGAAGACAUAAGAGGGUAGUUCUCAUUCCAGGGGGAGUUAGUCAUUCUCAAGACAUCUUCCAAUUGCCUCUACACAACUCAGAAUUAAAGAACCCCUCAAAGCACUAGAGGUGCACUAAACAGUCAUUGUCAAGAUUAUGGUGUUCUGAAGGCAAAUUCCAGACUUCCAGGCUUCCCCAUCGUCUAUCAUGGCAAUCCUCAAAAGGGAGACACCCUUCCUGGGGAGGCAUCUGACUGUCUCAGGACAAAGUGAGCAGCGUUUCCCACACACGGGCUGGAGAUGUUGGUGCUCUUCCUAGCCCGUGCUCAUGUUGAACCACUUUUAUCACGGGGCCGUUCCUCAAGAUACCUUUUAUAUCCAUCCAGAAUUGCUGACCAUAUCAAAAUUCAAAAGAAAUUCCACAGCAGGACACAAAGGUGCACAGGAUCCCAGACCUGGCCUCCUGAGGCUGAUUUUGGAUCUGCCUAGAAGACCAUCUACAGGGAGCUGUGGGGUUCCAACAGUGUGGAAGAGGGUCCUCCGAGAAGGCGGGGAGUGGCCAGCUAAAGAGGCACCACCCCAUCUUCAAAGAAACCACCAGGGGGACCCUACAAGG